rnacentral:rRNA from 1 species
GAGUUUGAUCGUGGCUCAGGACGAACGCUGGCGGCGUGCCUAAUACAUGCAAGUAGAACGCUGAAGGAGGAGCUUGCUUCUCUGGAUGGGUUGCGAACGGGUGAGUAACGCGUAGGUAACCUGCCUGGUAGCGGGGGAUAACUAUUGGAAACGAUAGCUAAUACCGCAUAAUAGUAGAUGUUGCAUGACAUUUGCUUAAAAGGUGCAAUUGCAUCACUACCAGAUGGACCUGCGUUGUAUUAGCUAGUUGGUGAGGUAACGGCUCACCAAGGCGACGAUACAUAGCCGACCUGAGAGGGUGAUCGGCCACACUGGGACUGAGACACGGCCCAGACUCCUACGGGAGGCAGCAGUAGGGAAUCUUCGGCAAUGGACGGAAGUCUGACCGAGCAACGCCGCGUGAGUGAAGAGGUUUUCGGAUUGUAAAGCUCUGUUGUAAGAGAAGAACGAGUGUGAGAGUGGAAAGUUCACACUGUGACGGUAUCUUACCAGAAAGGGACGGCUAACUACGU